UCAGAUUGAACGCUGGCGGCAGGCCUAACACAUGCAAGUCGAGCGGUAGCACAAGGAGCUUGCUCCUGGGUGACGAGCGGCGGACGGGUGAGUAAUGUCUGGGAAACUGCCCGAUGGAGGGGGAUAACUACUGGAAACGGUAGCUAAUACCGCAUAACGUCUUCGGACCAAAGUGGGGGACCUUCGGGCCUCACACCAUCGGAUGUGCCCAGAUGGGAUUAGCUAGUAGGUGAGGUAAUGGCUCACCUAGGCGACGAUCCCUAGCUGGUCUGAGAGGAUGACCAGCCACACUGGAACUGAGACACGGUCCAGACUCCUACGGGAGGCAGCAGUGGGGAAUAUUGCACAAUGGGCGCAAGCCUGAUGCAGCCAUGCCGCGUGUGUGAAGAAGGCCUUCGGGUUGUAAAGCACUUUCAGCGAGGAGGAAGGGUUCGGUGUUAAUAGCACCGUUCAUUGACGUUACUCGCAGAAGAAGCACCGGCUAACUCCGUGCCAGCAGCCGCGGUAAU
rnacentral:rRNA from 1 species